UAACAACCUUAUUAUAAGUAAUUAUUGGAAAGAAGGAAAAUUAGCUUUAUGCUAGGCCCUGUAUUAGAUGUGUAAAUAUAGGCUAUGCAUGUAAUAAAUUUAAGUGCUCUUAAAGGAAUGUAGAAGAAAGCUUUAGUUAUAAAUAAAAAUAGGGGCGCCUAGGUGGCUUAGUCGGUUAAGUGUCCGACUUCAGCUCAGGUCAUGAUCUCGCGAUCCGUGGGUUAGAGCCCUGCGUCGGGCUCUGUGCUGUCAGUUCAGAGCCUGGAGCUUGCUUCGGAUUCUGUGUCUCCCUCUCUUUCUGCCCCUCCCCCACGCAUGCUCUGUCUCUCUCUAUCAAAAAAUGAAUAAACGAUAAAAAAAAAUAAAACCCAUGUUUUUGGAGUGCCAGCUGAUAAUAAGGAUAUCAUUAAGGUUAGACACCAGACAAUCAACUUAUGGCUUGCAGUUCCAGGAAAAACUGCUAGAAUAAUAAUUCUAGAACAGAAUUUUAGAAUGGAACUCCUUUCAGUAAGAUGUUACAGGUUCUGCAGAUGCUACUGGAUACUGAAGCCAUCAGCCAGAGAAGGUUGCUUGAGGAAACGGAAAUGAAUAAUAACCAUUAUGUUCCAGCGUCUUGGACAGACAAGAAAAUAUUUGCAAGUGUGGUGAAAAGAAUGGGACUUUCCAAGGUGUUUUCGGAUAGAAUGUUGAGAACAGAGAUGGUGAUUCUUUCCCCCAGGAGGCUCGGGGAAUGCUGGGAGUUUUUUGCCAUCCUGCCGAAAGGGAAGAAGGGACCCGAAAUGCCGCGUGAAAUGGAUUCACCGAGCCCGUGCCUGGGAAGCAGCCCCGCCCGUUCCUUUUCAAGACCCAGCGCCGCCGUGGCCUGACAAGCG
rnacentral:lncRNA from 1 species